GUAAUGCGUUACGCUCCAUUUCAUCAUCCUAGAAGGAAAAGUUCGUUUGGUUUAUGUCCAGUUUGGUAUAAAUCCAAAGAUGUGGAACGGACUAAUGACAUAUACAGAGGUGCCCCCCCAGCAUUUGCAUGACAUUUUCGCAAACCUGUAAAAAAAAAAAAAAAAAAAAAAAAAAAAAAAAAA